rnacentral:tRNA from 1 species
UAUUCUCACAUGGAAUUUAACCAUGACUAAUG